rnacentral:rRNA from 1 species
AACCUUACCAGGUUCUUGACAUCCCGAUGCUAUUUCUAGAGAUAGAAAGUUACUUCGGUACAUCGGUGACAGGUGGUGCAUGGUUGUCGUCAGCUCGUGUCGUGAGAUGUUGGGUUAAGUCCCGCAACGAGCGCAACCCUUGUCUUUAGUUGCCAUCAUUAAGUUGGGCACUCUAAAGAGACUGCCGGUGUCAAACCGGAGGAAGUGGGGAUGACGUCAAGUCCUCAUGGCCUUUAUGACCAGGGCUACACACGUACUACAAUGGCAGGUACAAAGGGCAGCCACUUAGCGAUAAGGCGCGAAUCCCGUAAAACCUGUCUCAGUCCGGAUUGGAGUCUGCAACUCGACUCCAUGAAGUUGGAAUCGCUAGUAAUCGCAGAUCAGCACGCUGCGGUGAAUACGUUCCCGGGCCUU